GUUUCCAGUUGCUUGUUAGUCAGUUAGUGUAUUUUUACCUGUUUUAUAAGAUCGUACAUGCUUCCUGUGAAAAUGGAAAGCAAAGGUUAUUUGCCUUAGGAUUUUCUUAAAUGAAGUAUUUAAAGGUGGGCAAUGCUUAAUCAUCCACUUUAUUUAUUGAUUUAUUUCUUUUGUACUCCCAUCCAGACACACUGUUCUCACAAAGAAGUUGGUUAUUUGGUUGCAUGACAGUCCCCUCCAGACCCUUGCAAAGCAGGGUGCAUAAUUCACUUGGGAAUACCCUUUUUUCUAUAAUAUUUAUCAUAGGGAUUCAAGUUCAAAAUUAUUGAUGUAGUGCUAAUAUGUUAUUCACUACAAAGUGUUAUAAAUAAGGAGUUUUUUGUAUGUGCCUUGCUAAUUGUUUAAAUCGUUACUCCAGGCAUUUGAACUUUCAAGAUCAAGGUCUUCAUAACAGUGACAAAUAAUAAGCAUCAU
rnacentral:misc_RNA from 1 species